GGUUAAGCGACUAAGCGUACACGGUGGAUGCCCUGGCAGUCAGAGGCGAUGAAGGGCGUGCUAAUCUGCGAUAAGCGCCGGUAAGGUGAUAUGAACCGUUAUAACCGGCGAUACCCGAAUGGGGAAACCCAGUGUGAUUCGUCACACUAUCAUUAACUGAAUCCAUAGGUUAAUGAGGCGAACCGGGGGAACUGAAACAUCUAAGUACCCCGAGGAAAAGAAAUCAACCGAGAUUCCCCCAGUAGCGGCGAGCGAACGGGGAGGAGCCCAGAGCCUGAAUCAGCAUGUGUGUUAGUGGAAGCGUCUGGAAAGGCGCGCGAUACAGGGUGACAGCCCCGUACACAAAAGCGCAUGUGCUGUGAGCUCGAUGAGUAGGGCGGGACACGUGGUAUCCUGUCUGAAUAUGGGGGGACCAUCCUCCAAGGCUAAAUACUCCUGACUGACCGAUAGUGAACCAGUACCGUGAGGGAAAGGCGAAAAGAACCCCGGCGAGGGGAGUGAAAAAGAACCUGAAACCGUGUACGUACAAGCAGUGGGAGCACAGGUUUACCUGUGUGACUGCGUACCUUUUGUAUAAUGGGUCAGCGACUUAUAUUCUGUAGCAAGGUUAACCGAAUAGGGGAGCCGGAGGGAAACCGAGUCUUAAUUGGGCGUUAAGUUGCAGGGUAUAGACCCGAAACCCGGUGAUCUAGCCAUGGGCAGGUUGAAGGUUGGGUAACACUAACUGGAGGACCGAACCGACUAAUGUUGAAAAAUUAGCGGAUGACCUGUGGCUGGGGGUGAAAGGCCAAUCAAACCGGGAGAUAGCUGGUUCUCCCCGAAAGCUAUUUAGGUAGCGCCUCGUGAAUUCAUCUCCGGGGGUAGAGCACUGUUUCGGCUAGGGGGCCAUCCCGGCUUACCAACCCGAUGCAAACUGCGAAUACCGGAGAAUGUUAUCACGGGAGACACACGGCGGGUGCUAACGUCCGUCGUGAAGAGGGAAACAACCCAGACCGCCAGCUAAGGUCCCAAAGUCAUGGUUAAGUGGGAAACGAUGUGGGAAGGCCCAGACAGCCAGGAUGUUGGCUUAGAAGCAGCCAUCAUUUAAAGAAAGCGUAAUAGCUCACUGGUCGAGUCGGCCUGCGCGGAAGAUGUAACGGGGCUAAACCAUGCACCGAAGCUGCGGCAGCGACACUGUGUGUUGUUGGGUAGGGGAGCGUUCUGUAAGCCUGUGAAGGUGUGUCGUGAGGCAUGCUGGAGGUAUCAGAAGUGCGAAUGCUGACAUAAGUAACGAUAAAGCGGGUGAAAAGCCCGCUCGCCGGAAGACCAAGGGUUCCUGUCCAACGUUAAUCGGGGCAGGGUGAGUCGACCCCUAAGGCGAGGCCGAAAGGCGUAGUCGAUGGGAAACGGGUUAAUAUUCCCGUACUUGGUGUUACUGCGAAGGGGGGACGGAGAAGGCUAUGUUGGCCGGGCGACGGUUGUCCCGGUUUAAGCGUGUAGGUGUGUGUUCCAGGUAAAUCCGGUUCACUUUAACACUGAGGCGUGAUGACGAGGCACUACGGUGCUGAAGCAACAAAUGCCCUGCUUCCAGGAAAAGCCUCUAAGCAUCAGGUAACAUCAAAUCGUACCCCAAACCGACACAGGUGGUCAGGUAGAGAAUACCAAGGCGCUUGAGAGAACUCGGGUGAAGGAACUAGGCAAAAUGGUGCCGUAACUUCGGGAGAAGGCACGCUGACACGUAGGUGAAGUGAUUUACUCAUGGAGCUGAAGUCAGUCGAAGAUACCAGCUGGCUGCAACUGUUUAUUAAAAACACAGCACUGUGCAAACACGAAAGUGGACGUAUACGGUGUGACGCCUGCCCGGUGCCGGAAGGUUAAUUGAUGGGGUCAGCGCAAGCGAAGCUCCUGAUCGAAGCCCCGGUAAACGGCGGCCGUAACUAUAACGGUCCUAAGGUAGCGAAAUUCCUUGUCGGGUAAGUUCCGACCUGCACGAAUGGCGUAAUGAUGGCCAGGCUGUCUCCACCCGAGACUCAGUGAAAUUGAACUCGCUGUGAAGAUGCAGUGUACCCGCGGCAAGACGGAAAGACCCCGUGAACCUUUACUAUAGCUUGACACUGAACAUUGAGCCUUGAUGUGUAGGAUAGGUGGGAGGCUUUGAAGCGUGGACGCCAGUCUGCGUGGAGCCGACCUUGAAAUACCACCCUUUAAUGUUUGAUGUUCUAACGUGGACCCGUGAUCCGGGUUGCGGACAGUGUCUGGUGGGUAGUUUGACUGGGGCGGUCUCCUCCUAAAGAGUAACGGAGGAGCACGAAGGUUGGCUAAUCCUGGUCGGACAUCAGGAGGUUAGUGCAAUGGCAUAAGCCAGCUUGACUGCGAGCGUGACGGCGCGAGCAGGUGCGAAAGCAGGUCAUAGUGAUCCGGUGGUUCUGAAUGGAAGGGCCAUCGCUCAACGGAUAAAAGGUACUCCGGGGAUAACAGGCUGAUACCGCCCAAGAGUUCAUAUCGACGGCGGUGUUUGGCACCUCGAUGUCGGCUCAUCACAUCCUGGGGCUGAAGUAGGUCCCAAGGGUAUGGCUGUUCGCCAUUUAAAGUGGUACGCGAGCUGGGUUUAGAACGUCGUGAGACAGUUCGGUCCCUAUCUGCCGUGGGCGCUGGAGAACUGAGGGGGGCUGCUCCUAGUACGAGAGGACCGGAGUGGACGCAUCACUGGUGUUCGGGUUGUCAUGCCAAUGGCACUGCCCGGUAGCUAAAUGCGGAAGAGAUAAGUGCUGAAAGCAUCUAAGCACGAAACUUGCCCCGAGAUGAGUUCUCCCUGAGACUUAGAGUCUCCUGAAGGAACGUUGAAGACGACGACGUUGAUAGGCCGGGUGUGUAAGCGCAGCGAUGCGUUGAGCUAACCGGUACUAAUGAACCGUGAGGCUUAACCUU
rnacentral:rRNA from 1 species